UCAAACUUGGUCAUUUAGAGGAAGUAAAAGUCGUAACAAGGUCUCCGUUGGUGAACCAGCGGAGGGAUCAUUACAGAGUGUAACAGCUCCCUAAACCCAUUGUGAAUCUACCUGUUCAGUUGCUUCGGCGGGCGGCCCCAGGGGGGGCCAUGGCCUAGCAGGCGCCUGCCGGAGGUAUCAAAAACUCUUGCCGUGUAGUGGUCUCUGAGCAAAACAAAUGAGUCAAAACUUUCAACAACGGAUCUCUUGGCUUAGGCAUCGAUGAAGAACGCAGC
rnacentral:misc_RNA from 1 species